rnacentral:rRNA from 1 species
AAUCAACGCUGGCGGCGUGCCUAACACAUGCAAGUCGAACGCGAAAGGGGCUUCGGCCCUGAGUAGAGUGGCGGACGGGUGAGUAACACGUGGGAACGUGCCUUUAGGUUCGGAAUAGCUCCUGGAAACGGGUGGUAAUGCCGAAUGUGCCCUUCGGGGGAAAGAUUUAUCGCCUUUAGAGCGGCCCGCGUCUGAUUAGCUAGUUGGUGAGGUAAAGGCUCACCAAGCCGAAGAUCAGUAGCUGGUCUGAGAGGAUGGCCAGCCACAUUGGGACGGAGACACGGCCCAAACUCCUACGGAGGGCAGCAGUGGGGAAUCUUGCGCAAUGGGCGAAAGCCUGACGCAGCCAUGCCGCGUGUAUGAUGAAGGUCUUAGGAUUGUAAAAUACUUUCACCGGUGAAGAUAAUGACUGUAGCCGGAGAAGAAGCCCCGGCUAACUUCGUGCCAGCAGCCGCAGUAACAC